GGGGAUGUGGCGGAACUGGUAGACGCAGCAGACUCAAAAUCUGCCGGGGGCAACCCCAUCGGAGUUCGAUUCUCCGCAUCCCCA
rnacentral:tRNA from 1 species